GCUGUAGCUCAGUGGUAGAGCACUUGCCUAGCAUGCAUGAGGCCCUGGGUUCCGUCCCUAGUACUGCA
rnacentral:tRNA from 1 species